AUGAACGCUGGCGGCGUGCCUCAUCCCUGCCAGUCGAGCGAACGGACGAGAAGCUUGCUUCUCUGAUGUUAGCGGCGGACGGGUGGGUAACACGUGGAUAACCUACCUAUAAGACUGGGAUAACUUCGGGAAACCGGAGCUAAUACCGGAUAAUAUUUUGAACCGCAUGGUUCAAAAGUGAAAGACGGUCUUGCUGUCACUUAUAGAUGGAUCCGCGCUGCAUUAGCUAGUUGGUAAGGUAACGGCUUACCAAGGCAACGAUGCAUAGCCGACCUGAGAGGGUGAUCGGCCACACUGGAACUGAGACACGGUCCAGACUCCUACGGGAGGCAGCAGUAGGGAAUCUUCCGCAAUGGGCGAAAGCCUGACGGAGCAACGCCGCGUGAGUGAUGAAGGUCUUCGGAUCGUAAAACUCUGUUAUUAGGGAAGAACAUAUGUGUAAGUAACUGUGCACAUCUUGACGGUACCUAAUCAGAAAGCCACGGCUAACUACGUG
rnacentral:rRNA from 1 species